AGUAGCAUAGUAUUUUGGUUUAUUCUAGCAAUUUCCAUGGAAAUCACUAUAAUUCACUCCAACAACAUGAGCAGAAAUACAAGAGAGAGAGCGCGACAAACGCAAAUACUAAUGUUCGGGUCGGACGCCGAGCUCCCGCCAACAUGCACACAAAUCUUAUAACUGUAGCUUAACCCCCAAAUUUAGUUGACGACUUUGAUUAGGGUUUUGCUGGAUUCUCAAUUAAAACCCUCAGCAUUCAUCUUCUUCACCGAAUUCUCUGAUUCCCCAAAAUAUGGCUGAAGAUAAAGUGUCGUUGGAUUUGACGGAAGAAACUCUUCAGAGCAUGGAAGUCGGCAUGGCGUUUCGCGAUUAUAGUGGAAGAAUCAGUUCAAUGGACUUCCAUAGGACCUCAAGUUACUUGGUCACUGCUAGUGAUGAUGAAUCGAUCCGCUUGUAUGAUGUCGCCAAUGCCACAUGUUUGAAAACCAUCAAUAGCAAGAAGUAUGGAGUUGAACUUGUGUGCUUUACUUCUCAUCCUACAACAGUGAUCUACUCGUCAAAGAAUGGCUGGGAUGAGUCACUGCGGCUUCUCUCCUUGAACGACAACAAAUAUUUGCGAUAUUUCAAAGGUCAUCAUGAUAGGGUCGUAUCCCUAAGCUUGUGUGCUCGCAAUGAAUUCUUUAUAUCAGGUUCUCUGGACCGGACUGUUCUGCUCUGGGACCAACGGGCUGAAAAAUGUCAGGGUCUUCUACGUGUCCAGGGAAGGCCUGCAACAGCUUAUGACGAUCAAGGAUUAGUCUUUUCGAUUGCUUCUGGAGGAUAUAUAAGAUUGUUUGACACUCGCAAAUAUGAAAAGGGCCCUUUUGAAAUAUAUUCUGUUGGGGGAGACUUCUCUGAUGCCAAUGUAGUCAAAUUCAGCAAUGACGGGAGACUUAUGCUUUUAACAACAACCAAUGGAUUUAUUCAUGUGCUUGAUUCAUUCCGUGGUACCCUUUUAUGCUCAUUUAAUGUAAAACCAGUAUCUACCAGCUCGACUUUGGAGGCCUCAUUUAGCCCCGAGGGAAUGUUUGUCAUAUCAGGUUCAGGGGAUGGCAGUGUAUAUGCAUGGAGUGUCCGCAGUGGCAAAGAGGUGGCAAGUUGGAUGAGUACCGAAAAAGAACCUCCUGUAAUAAAAUGGGCACCAGGAAACGUCAUGUUUGCCACUGGAUCCUCUGAGCUAUCUUUUUGGGUUCCUGAUUUGUCUAAACUGGGAACUUACGCGGGAAGAAAAUAGCAAUGAGACUAACCAUGGAGGAAUUAAUGCGGAAAGAAAAUAGCCAUGAGACUAUCCAUCAAAUGGUCAAAGUUAAGGAUUUAUGCUUAUUAGAAAUGCAGCUUGUCUAGUCAACUAGAAAUGCAGCUUGCACCAUUAAUCACGAAUUCACGAUUUAUGAUGGAAUCUUUCCUUGUAGUGAGUCUGCUUCAACAACUUAUGUUCAUGGCUCAUGAAUAAGACAAGUCAGAGUUAUUAUGGAUUUGAACCUUCUUGAGGAGAAGUGGUGAUACUUUGGCUGCAUGCUGCUGAACUCAUGUUACUGCAGGAAAAAAUGGUCAUUCAUCCAGGUAGUGAAGCAGGCAUGGCCAAGAACCCUAUCAGUUUAAGCCCAAGAACCCAAUUCCCUCUUCAUCUUUCCAACACCUUAGUUAAAACCGAACUCUGCACCACAACCUUAGAACAUAAAGGUGGUGUACAUGUACCCUCCUCCAUCCCUGAUUUUCAAGGAACCUCUUAAAAGAGGAAAGCCAUUCACAUAAAGAAAGAAGAGCAAGGCGCAGCUCGGGCAAAACGAAUAGUAUGGGAAACCUUACGUUACAUAGUCCUGAUGUACAUGCACAUAGUCUGAAAGUACAAAAGAAACUUAUGUAAUGCACACAACAGAGUAUGUACCAUGUACAACUUACAUAAUGAUGGUUGUGUGCAUUUUGAGGGGGGUUAUAUUUAGUACAUAAAACUUGAGAAGGGUGAAUUCAGAAAACCAACCAUGCAAAAAUUACAAAGUGAAACCCUAAAAUAGGCAAAU